rnacentral:rRNA from 1 species
GAUGAACGCUGGCGGCGUGCCUAAUACAUGCAAGUCGAGCGAACAGACGAGGAGCUUGCUCCUCUGACGUUAGCGGCGGACGGGUGAGUAACACGUGGAUAACCUACCUAUAAGACUGGGAUAACUUCGGGAAACCGGAGCUAAUACCGGAUAAUAUAUUGAACCGCAUGGUUCAAUAGUGAAAGACGGUUUUGCUGUCACUUAUAGAUGGAUCCGCGCCGCAUUAGCUAGUUGGUAAGGUAACGGCUUACCAAGGCAACGAUGCGUAGCCGACCUGAGAAGGUGAGCGGCCACACUGGAACUGAGACACGGUCCAGACUCCUACGGGAGGCAGCAGUAGGGAAUCUUCCGCAAUGGGCGAAAGCCUGACGGAGCAACGCCGCGUGAGUGAUGAAGGUCUUCGGAUCGUAAAACUCUGUUAUUAGGGAAGAACAAAUGUGUAAGUAACUAUGCACGUCUUGACGGUACCUAAUCAGAAAGCCACGGCUAACUACGU